CCGAACAGCUGUGUAAGAAGUGUGGCCGCACUCCGUACGGAAAUUAGUGCGGCCUUAAAAAUAAUAAAAACGCGUUUAUGAUUUAAGUUUUGCUUGAAUUACAAAAACAAAAUAAGGUGUAAAACAUCAAAAAAUUGGAAAAGACAAGGAAAAUGUUUUUUAUUUGUUGGCGAUGUGAAAAAAUAUGAUACAAUAUAAUUAAAGAAAUUUUCGCGCAUUUAGUGUGACCAUCUCGUGGGAGUUAUCGAUAUCGGCGUGAAAGGCCAUUUCAAAGUUUAAGUAAAAAUUUCAUUGUGUAAUAUAAACAAUCUUCUGGACCUACCAGAGGUACAAUUAAAACAGGAUUUCAAUGCAGACGCUAUAUUCGAGCGGAGUUUCAAUCCAUGUGUCAUACGGCCUGUCCAUCCGCCCCUCCCCGAAAGGAAGGGCUAAAGGAAUGGCCGCAGUAAAAGAAAAAAAAAGCUAGGCGGAGUGGCGCCAAAAUACAAGAAGAAGUAUUAGAUCAUUGUAAUGCCAUCAAAUAAGAUAAAAACACUACACCUUAUACUCCAGACACUAAUGGCUCCAUUCAAGUGAAUGUACACACAAAGCAAAGCGAGAACGGAACCACGACAACGCAUGUACAGUAGAGGGAUAACUUUAAAGGAUUACAAUAUGUACCUACGUACUCCCAAUUACGUAAAUACAUCCGCCUGUAUGUACAUACUAGUGCAGAAGUAUCUAGCUAGGGACGUGUCUUAUAGAGUCCUCUGCUUAAUGGAUUUCAAUUGGAACUGCAGAAAAAUAUCAAUAGAAGACGAAGCCUGUGUCUGUAGCCACCCUGUAGAGGCGUCACUUGAUUGUUCUUGUUGCUGUUGCUUGUUCAAGGGGCACACGUCAAUAAUUGCGCUUGAAAAGAAGUUAAGGAAAACACAAUCAAGCAGAAGCAGAAGCGGCAGCAGCAGCAGCAGUAGAGUGGCAAUGGUAGUGGCGGCGGCAGGAGGACCAAGAGGCAAGAGGCAGCCAAGCGGUGGAGGUCCUACCAAGAUCUCUGCAGUCAGUCGGUCCCCUUUCGAACUUUAAUGUGAAAAUCAUGCAAUGAACCAAAUUCAAACGGAAAUGAUUCACACUCCAGCUGAAACACAAUUCAAGUAGGGGAACGGAACCCCAGAACCCCCGACAACCAGAAGCAAAAGUACAAUAUAAAUAUAUGUACAUAGUCGUACAUACAUAUGUAUGUAUGUAUGUAUGUAUGUUGAUGCAGAAGGCGGAUGGACGGACGGGGGUCUCAAAUCGAAAUUGCGUUUUCAACAACAAUUGUUACAACAACAAUGACGCCAUUUGGAAGAACAAUAACAAUUUCACCCCCAUAAGAUGUCUAAGAGCGAGAGAGACAGGGACUGAGACUGAGACUGAGACCGGGUACCGAGUACCGAGUACCGAUGAAAGCAGAUGAAACACUCGAGGGAGGACCGACCGACCACCGCCACAUGUCGAGGAGCAUGUGCCCCCAGACAAAUGUCAACGCAAAUAUUUCACUUCCUGUUCUUUUUCCCAUUUAUUCGGAGAUUCCCCCGUUCGUUUGUUCGACUUGACUGCUAAGCUUCGACAAAAGGUUCAAAGGUCAAGGAUUUUCACGUUUAAUUAGACAUGGAUACGGUUUUUCAUCACCAUCACCAUCACCAGCAUGAGAAUCCAGCAUUCAGCAUCCAGCAUCCAGCAUCCGCGAGGGCGUUUGCGUAGGCGGCAACGGCGACGGCGACGACAAAGAAGCGGUAUUUAAAUUUCCAAUUAGCCCAGUGAGAGGUCGGAUGGUGUGUGUCUUCUGUAUGCCACAUUUUCUGCGGUUUCUUUGCCCUUUUUGAGGGGAGACACCCUGCCAGCCAGGAGCCUAAACAAAUUCUAUAAAAAUAAAACAAUUCAUUAAAGAUUUUUAAAGCCCCAAAUAUAUCAGAAAGAGUCGCUUUGGUUCAUGGAGUAGAACGGGGUCUAUAUUUCUUCAAAAUGAUGCCACGCGGGCACUUUUGUGGCACUGAAUCGCAUACGCAUCCGCGGGUUCCACAUCUGGGGAAGCCAGAAAGGUAUGAUCCAGCAGCCACUGGAGUGUGGCACCGUUGUCCGUCCUCUCGUACCAAAGGCAGGAAUACACAGAAGCAGGAGCCUUCGUCUGCCAAGUAUUUUGAAGUGUUUGUCAUUUGAAUUUGAAUUAAAUUUCGACUUAUUGUUUUCAUGUGAUGCUGUAACAUCUUCGUGGAAUGCUGCCACCGAUGGACUCUGGAUAAUCAAUCUGUAAUCUGUGAGUUCAUCAUUUGUGUGCCUCCUGAGUGAAGGUAGAGCUAGUCGUAUAAUCACAAAAAUGCAACUAUACUAGUUUUA
rnacentral:sRNA from 1 species